rnacentral:piRNA from 1 species
UCUAAUAUUUCCUAAUUUCCAUGAUGUAAAU